rnacentral:rRNA from 1 species
GUGGGGUAAUGGCCUACCAAGGCGACGACGGGUAGCCGGCCUGAGAGGGCGAUCGGCCACACUGGGACUGAGACACGGCCCAGACUCCUACGGGAGGCAGCAGUGGGGAAUAUUGCGCAAUGGGCGAAAGCCUGACGCAGCGACGCCGCGUGAGGGAUGACGGCCUUCGGGUUGUAAACCUCUUUCAGCAGGGACGAAGCGAGAGUGACGGUACCUGCAGAAGAAGCACCGGCCAACUACGUGCCAGCAGCCGCGGUAAUACGUAGGGUGCAAGCGUUGUCCGGAAUUAUUGGGCGUAAAGAGCUCGUAGGCGGCCUGUCGCGUCGGCUGUGAAAACCCGGGGCUCAACCCCGGGCCUGCAGUCGAUACGGGCAGGCUAGAGUCCGGUAGGGGAGACUGGAAUUCCUGGUGUAGCGGUGAAAUGCGCAGAUAUCAGGAGGAACACCGGUGGCGAAGGCGGGUCUCUGGGCCGGAACUGACGCUAAGGAGCGAAAGCGUGGGGAGCGAACAGGAUUAGAUACCCUGGUAGUCCACGCCGUAAACGUUGGGCGCUAGGUGUGGGGGACCUUCCACGGCCUCCGUGCCGCAGCUAACGC